GGACCCGGCGUGCCGGACCCGGCCCCUGGCGCUCCCUUUCCUCCUGCAGGCGGCUCCAGGAGACUGCAGGAGCUUGGGGGUUUCUGCAGCCCCUCCAGGCUCGAGGGGACCUUGGGUCCCUGUCCAGGCUUUCCUGGUCUCGGCGGCGUUCCGGAAGGGAACGAACCGCCUGUCCGCGCUACCUGCUCCAGCGCUCGCCACAGACGGGUGUCUUCUCAGACCCUGUCCCCCGGAAGGAGACCCAGCGGCGGCAACCUGACAACUUCUAGUCAGGAGCUGAGAGUCAGGCCCGGCGGAUAUGUUUGGCUUUAAGGCCGGCUGACGGUGUGGAGAAGCCAGUACUAUACAGCGGUGAAGCAGAAGGAGCUAAGCGAUGGGCAGAGCCCGUUCCCUGAUUCAUAACUUAUAGGAGGAAACUGAAGAACACCAGUGAAAAAAAGAAAGGAAAACAGGGUCCUGUCCCUGUGCUAGAAGCUUCAUGCAUGUUACUUACUUGGGCAGCUUUAUGAAGUGUGUGUUACUAGUACCAUCUUACAGAUGGAGGAAGCCGGGUCUCAGAGUAAGAAACAUGUCCAAAGCUGCAGAGUUAAUCAGUGGCUGGACAGGCUUGAGUCUGGUCUGCCAGCUCCUGAUACAGCACACCUUCCAGGUGAGAUGGGAAAUGCACCGCCGUCAGCACACUCGGUGCACACUCGGUGCACACUCGGUGCUCAGUCAGGGCCGGCUGGCCGGCCUUCUGUGAGAUGGGUCUCCUGGUCCCAGCUAGUGUUUGUGAAAUAAAUGGGAACACUUUGCAGAGAAGGAAAUCAUAAAAAAGUUGAGAGAUUAUUUGCCCUAUAGCCUUUUUAUAACAAGGCAAGUAAGUAAAAAGAUUAUAAAAUAGUUCUGCUUCAGUUUUAGAGGCGGUCCUAUUUCAAUUGUUUAAUGUUAUUCACAGCUUAUUAAGGCAUGACUUACAAAUAUUACUAAUUGCAUAACUGAAGCACAGAUUGGUUAAGUAUCUUUUCUUUGCACAGAAAAUCUAGAAUUUAUAAACUUAAAAACUGAGUUUUCUGGGAAUAAUUAAGCCUGUAAAAGAUACCCGUUUUUGGUGAAAAUACAGGUUUCCAAAGACCAGUUAUAGUUAUAACCUCUGUUCUUCUGCUUGUAUGGAGCAUUUGAUGCUUUCUUUCCUAAAAUAUGAAGAAGGUAAAGAGAACAUGGUUUCCCUUCUAUAGAGAAAGGCUACUUACCUUUUCUCCUCUUUUUAAGGUGAAAUCAGAAUUCUGGAAUUCAGAUAAACUAGAGUUGAAGAAUAAUCAUUACUUUUUCUGGUCUGGAUACUGCUUGUUUUUAUUUACUUUUGCCCGGAAUAAUAAGUAAUUGGAAAUUAGGCGAGGAAAGCCCUAUUACAGAAAGAGAAAACAAAGUCUAAGCUCUCUGCUGACCUCUGCAGGAUAUAUUUUGAAAUGCAAUUCCCAACACGCUUUCUCUCAACUUUGUAACUAUGUUUGUAAGGAUCUUAUGUAGAUGGCUAUAUCAACAAUCUUAAUCUGUAGAGAAAUAUGGAUAACAGUACAGAUAACAUCUGUUUCCUCAGCCCUUGUGUAGCUCUCAUGUUUCAUAUUACUAAAUUAAACAUGUUUUUAAAGCAUAUAAGUGUAUGAAAGUUGCUACAGUUCACAAGAAAUAUUUUAAGGGCUUUUUCUAAAUACAAGAAAACUAAGUUCCACUUCAAAACUCUAAAAUUUGGGGUGCCUGGGUGGCUCAGUCCAUUACGUGUGUGCCUUCAGCUCACGUCAUAAUCCCAGGGUUCUGGGAUAAAGCCCCGAAGAGGGCUUCCUCUCAUCAGGGGAUCUGUUUCUCCCUCUCCCUGCUUGAGUUCUAUCUCAAAUAAAUGAACAAAUCUAAGAAAAUACAAACAAACAAACAA